UCAGUUUUAACUACUGAUUUUUACUCCCUUAUUUUGGUUUGUACUUUCUGAUUUCUGAUUGUUGAUCAUGAGCCACUUUGCAUACACUUCAAUAUAGGAAAGGAGGACAAUUCAAACAAACAAUUAUUUUAUUGAGGUUAAAAGACCCUCUGAAUUUGGAGGAGUGUCUUGCCUUCAUGAAAACACAGGAUAAAUUUACUUUCAAAGUAAAUUAUAAGUUCUAAAGUAAUCACAUAGAAAGGUAAUCCUGAAUAUCCAGCCAAAUCUAUUUCCUCUCCUUUUGCAAAAGGGACAAACAUUCCAGCCUGGCUUCAUUCCCUCUUCUCAAGUCCAAGCUCACUGUAUAGAAAUGCUAGUUGUGUUGCAACCUAAAACAAUUAAAAAUAGUUAUUACAAAACAGAGUACACAUAACCUUUUGCACACUUUAGAGAUGUAUUAUCAGCAGCUCUUUCCAACCCAACUGAUGGUCUCCUUGCAGUGCCGUUCGUGCUCCUGUAACACUGGAGAUAAUCAUGUGGGUUUGCCUGCAGUCUGAAGAGUAAUCAGAGUUCUUCCUGCCCAAUCCUCUUUAGAAAAUGGCAGCUGCUCUAAUGGGCUUUUCACUGAGAUCAGGAAAGCUUCCUGUGAAUUGAGCAUUACUGUCAAGUGUAACACAGCUUGUGACCAGAACAACAGCAGCAAUGCUGAAGCUGGUGUCACAAAAUGCUUUCAAAAUUGCUUUGCUUCUUUCUGUCAUAGCCUGUGGUUGAAGUACUUUCAUGUGAGCAUGUGUGCCUUCUAUAUAAGUAAAAAGUUCUUUAUCUACACUUUAAAAAUAUUUAAACACA